GUCAAAUCUGCUCAAUGAAUUUAUUUUAAAUAGCUGCAGUAUAUUGACUGUACUAAGGUAGCAUAAUCAAUUGUCUUUUAAUUAAAGAAUGGAAUGAAAGAAUUAAUGAAAUAUAUACUGUCUCAAUUAUAAAAAGUUAAUUUAAAUUUUUAGUAAAAAUGCUAAAUUAAAAUUAUGGGACGAUAAGACCCUAUAGAAUUUUAUAUAAAUUUAUUUAAAUAAAUAAUUAUUAUUUUAUAUAAAUAAAAUUUAUAUUUAAUUGGGAGGAUUUAUAAAUUUAAUAAACUUUAUAUUAUAUAAUUAAAUUAAACUUUGAUUUAAGAAAAUUUAAUUUGAUAUAGUAAUAUUAAUUAAAAAAAAAAAUUACCUUAGGGAUAACAGCGUAAUAUCUUUUUAAAGUACAAAUUAAUAAAGAUGAUUGCGACCUCGAUGUUGAAUUAAGAUAAAUUUUAAAUGUAGAAAUUUAAAAAUUAAGUCUG
rnacentral:rRNA from 1 species